rnacentral:lncRNA from 1 species
UUAUAACUAGUAUUUUUAAAAAAAAAAGAAUAUUAAAUGAGGGCGUAUUCAAAAGUAAAGCAAAAAGAGCAAAAGGAGUAAAAGGAGCAAAAGGAGCAGAAGGAGCAAAAGGAGCAAAAGGAGCAAAAGGAGCAGAAGGAGUAAAAAAGGCAAAAAGAAAUAAACAUGGUCAAGUAAACGAUUUUAAAUCUGGUCAUAUAAAAUCAGUUCAGGAAAAGCCCAAUCAAGAAAAAUCGAACGAGACAAAUGAAAAAAAAAAACUAACAGAUUCCUACUCAGACUCACUACCAACAGAUAAAAAAGUAAUCGACAACAUUAAAUUAUUAAAAAAUGAAAAAAAAAGUGCUAAUAAAGCUGGAGGUAAUAAUAUAGCUAGUAGUAACAUGCAAAUAGAAAAAAAAACAAAACAUAUAACAAAUGGUAUUAACAAAUCAACAGAUAUCCAUAAUCAUGAUAAAACAAAUAAACAGUUUAUAUCCUCAAGUUCAGGCUGUAGCAAUAUGAUUAAGGAAAAAACAAAUAAGUCAUUUAGCAUGUGUCACACUGAUAGUAAUAAUAGUAAUGAUGAUGGAAACAUGUGUUUAGAGUCAUUUGAACCUAUUUAUUCAUUCAGCUCUUCAUCUGCACAAUCAGAUAAAAGUGACAUAUCUAACCUUUCUCCUGACCCAUUGUUUUUAGAAAAGCAAUUUAAAUAUAUUUAUGACUUGUACAGACAUAAUGAUCAAAACAUUUUUUUAUUUUAUAAUCCUCCCAUAUGUAAAUGUAUCAACAAACCAUUAAAAGAAAAAUAUAUUCGAAGUUUAAAUAAUAAAUACCCUUGCCUUUUUAAUUGUACAUUGACACAUUAUAAUGAAAAUGAAAAGAAUUUUGAUAAUUAUUAUGAAGGAGGAAAAACAAGUGGGAAUAAAAGUGUUUCGAAUAUAAACCUAGCCAAAAUAAAUGUUUCUGAUACGGUUGCUACUCUUACCGAAAUUGCUCACACUGACGGUAUCCAAACCAACGUUGCUCAUACCAAAGUUUGUGACAUAACUUCUGCUAAUAACCCUUUAAACAAUCAUCCUGAGAAAACUUUGUUGACCUAUGGUGAUGUAGCAUCUGGCGCCGUUGAAAUGAAACUUUAUGCUAAAGCAAUAUUUGAAUUAUAUUUAUAUCAAAAAUAUUAUAGUAACAAAGAUAUGAAGAGUGGUAAAAAUAAUAAAAAUAAAAUAAUAUUGAAUGAUUGUAAUAAUUUUAAUAGUACAUAUGUAGAAAAUAAAAAUUGUUCUGCACAUGUUAAAAGAAAAAGGAAAAAACAAGAAGAUAGCAAUAACGAUGAAAUAAAAGAGUCUACAUCAUCAUUAAAUAAUAAGAGUGGUAAAAAAAAUAAAAUAAAUGAGAAAGAACAACCGAUUGAAACGAACAGAAACGGAAAAAUGUGGAAAAGCGAUAAUCAUAAUGUUGAUGAUGAAGAAGAAGAAGAAGAAGAAGAAGAAGAAGAAGAAGAAAAUUAUUUUUUAAGAACUUAUUUUUUUAAAUGUUUAUACAAAUUUUUAAAAAAGAAAUCGCUCACAUGCAAUGAUAAGGAUUGUUGUGGUUUAUUAUAUGUACCAUACAGUUAUAUUGUUGUCCUUUUAAAUAGAAAACUAGAAAGCUUAACAUACAUAUGUACAGAAUUAGAUUUACCAUCGAACACAGACAUAUAUUAUAAUAACAAAAAAAAUGUUAUUACUAUAUGUACUUUAAAUUUAGAGCAUGAAUUUUUUAGUUACUAUUGUUUAAAAAAUAAUAGUUAUGUUAAAAAUAUUUUAAUUUAUGAUAUAAAAUAUGAAGGAUUUUUACCUUUUUUUAAACCUAUUUUAAAUUUAAAAAAUAAAAAGAAUCAAGAUGAAAUUAUAAACUAUAUAAAUUAUAAUAAAAAUGCUAACUUGUCCAUAGUAUUCUUUUUAACAAAGUCUGGAAAAAAAACAAACGAGGAAACGUGUGAGUCAGAGUGUAGUUUUAUUAACGCAAGUAUGGUUGAGCAGGCGAAGGUGGACACGAAGAUGGACACAAAAAUGGACACAAAAAUGGACACAAAAAUGGACACAAAAAUGGACACAAAAAUGGACACAAAAAUUGACACAAAAAUGGACACAAAAAUGGACACAAAAAUGGACACAAAAAUNNNNNNNNNNGACACAAAAAUGGACACAAAAAUGGACACAAAAAUGGACACAAAAAUUGACACAAACAUAGGCACAAACAUGGACAUAUCUAAAGAAGAAAAUAUCAAGAAUAUCAACAUGAACGUUCAGCAAAAUAAUAUUGAUAUGGAGAAUACUGCCGAUGGAAAAAAUGUUUAUAAUGUAUGUGUAAGUGGUGAAGAUGGCAAAAAUUAUAAAAAAUUAACGAACAUGAAGCUGCGCAUUUGUAAAAUUUAUAAUAUAAACCAUAAAAACGAAUAUAAAAAGAGUAAUACUAACAUAAACAAAAAUGAUGAAGAAGAUGCUGAAAUGUAUUUUAAUAAUAUAUGUAAUGGACGAGAGGUUAUAAAUAAUAUGAAUAUAAAUAUCGUAGUAGAAAAUAUUUUAAAAUUAAUAAGUAAAAAAAAUAAUAUAUGUCAUAAAAAAUGUAUUUAUAAUAAUUAUAAUAAAAAUUUAAUGAAAAAUAAACAAAUACAAAUAUAUUUAUGUGAGGCUAUUAAUUCAUUCGGUUUUAAUCGUAGAUCAUUUAGUAUUAAAAAAAGGGAAAUUAUUAAUUCAUCUUAUGUUCAUUUUCAAAAAACGAUUGAAAAUUAUUAUUUACAGAAGCAUUCCAAUAAAUUGACUGACGUUGUUUCAUAUCACCUGAGUCAGGACGUUUUUAAACAUGGCAUAAUGAAAAAAAAAAUGAAAUUGGAUUGUGGUGGUGGUGGUGGUGGUGGUGAUACUGCUACAGCUGCUACUGCUGCUACUACUGCUGCUACUGCUGCUACUACUAACAACCUAGAUGAACAAGAUAAAAAAAGUGAACAUUUUGCCAUUGAUAACAAUAAUGAUAAAGUAGCUAUAGUGGACAAAUUAAAUGGUGCAAAUAUUAUGAGUAGUCAUGAAUAUAAUAAAAAAGAAAAAAAAAAAUACUUAUUUACAUUAAUAGACGAAAUAAAAGCUAAAGAUAACAAUAAAACUGAUGCAUCAGAUGACAACUUAUUUGCAUUUAAUGAUAAUCCAGAUUUAUACAAUGCAAAAAGUGAUAAAGAUGAUAAAUUAGAUGUGCUAAUCAAAGAAAAUAAUUUAAAAAAUGAAUUUAAAAAAACAUUAAUAACACCACCUACUGCCGAUAAUAAAUUAUGGAAUGACUUAUGUGCAAAAUAUCUACAAGCAUUAUUUAAUGUAUAUGUAUGUUCUUAUUUACUUGAGCAAGGGAACUAUAGCUCGAAAUUGAAUAAAGACAAUAUAUUGUUACAACCUAUACAAAAUAAUGGUAAAACAAGGAAAAGUAAAAACAAUAAACAACAAACAUUGUCUUCUUAUAGUUACAAAUUAAACAUUAUCAAAAAAUAUUACUAUUACUUAUUUCAUUUAUAUAAACAAAAAUUUAAUAUUCAGUUAUCAACAGAAGAAGAAAAAACAUUACAUGAAGAUGUAUGGAAAAAAGAAAAUACUUAUUUACUAUAUAAAGGUAAGAGGCAAGGGAAUAUAAAGAAAAGAAAAAAAAAAAAAAAAAAAAAAAAAAAAAUGGCACACGAGCGAAAUUGGCUAACGAGAAUAGCAAAAUUAAUAGACCAACAUAACAUACGGACAAAAUGAGAAGAUAUUAUUUUUAUUUUUUUGUUUUAUCCAAUAGGUUAGAUUUUAAUGGGAAUCACAGCGUACAUAUAGUUGUCUUAUGCCAUUUAUCCACU